UACGUAGGGGGCAAGCGUUGUCCGGAUUUAUUGGGCGUAAAGAGCGUGUAGGCGGCCAAGCAGGUCAGCUGUGAAAACUCGAGGCUCAACCUCGAGACGUCGAUUGAAACCGCGUGGCUAGAGUCCGGAAGAGGAGAGUGGAAUUCCCGGUGUGAGCGGUGAAAUGCGUAGAUAUCAAGUGGAACACCAGUGGCGAAGGCGAGUCUCUGGACAUUUCCUGACGCUGAGGCACGAAAGCCAGGGGAGCAAACGGG
rnacentral:rRNA from 1 species